GACGAACGCUGGCGGCGUGCCUAAUACAUGCAAGUCGAACGCACUCUCGUUUAGAUUGAAGGAGCUUGCUCCUGAUUGAUAAACAUUUGAGUGAGUGGCGGACGGGUGAGUAACACGUGGGUAACCUGCCCUAAAGUGGGGGAUAACAUUUGGAAACAGAUGCUAAUACCGCAUAAAACCUAACACCGCAUGGUGUAGGGUUGAAAGAUGGUUUCGGCUAUCACUUUAGGAUGGACCCGCGGUGCAUUAGUUAGUUGGUGAGGUAAAGGCUCACCAAGACCGUGAUGCAUGGCCGACCUGAGAGGGUAAUCGGCCACACUGGGACUGAGACACGGCCCAGACUCCUACGGGAGGCAGCAGUAGGGAAUCUUCCACAAUGGACGAAAGUCUGAUGGAGCAACGCCGCGUGAGUGAAGAAGGUUUUCGGAUCGUAAAACUCUGUUGUUGGAGAAGAAUGUAUCUGAUAGUAACUGAUCAGGUAGUGACGGUAUCCAACCAGAAAGCC
rnacentral:rRNA from 1 species